UCUUGUCUUAUUCUACGGAAUAUACCAUUGAUAUGUCAAAUUCCUUUAAAGAUGUACUAUGCAUGACUAAAAUGUUCUUCCUUUCUUGUCAUCUUUUCAUUUUAUCCAGUUGAGCACAGCCAUGGGAUAGUAUUAUAUUUAGUAAUAGGUGCUGUGUUUCCUUCCCAAAUGUUUGUGGGGCUCCAGAUAGUGUCUGCAUACCUUCUCGAAGCCAUCAGUUAGGACUUGUCAUGUUUCUCUAAAGAGAAAUGCUGUAAAUACUAACAUCUGCUCAUACAUCUAUUGGUUGUAUCAGUAGGUUUGCAGAAGGUGCAGUAAUGGAGAAAGCGAGAGACACAGCUGUCAGGCUAGUUCUACAAUAUUUUUCCUCUCUUUUCACUUGGAAGAGCAGAAGUGUAACUGAACCGUGUCCUCUGGAAACUUGAGGCUGAAGGUACAUUUACAGUCAAAAAACUUUUCAAAGUGUUUAACUCACACUUUAUCUUUUAUUUCUGUCCAUUAUAAUUAUAUGUACAAAUGUGGUAUGCCUUCCCCUCCUUGUUUCCAGAUACUGUUGUAAUAAAGGAUGGCAUACAUAAUUAAAUUAGUUAAAUUCUAAUAGUCUACAAAUAUUUGAAGGAUGCUAUGAACUUUCUAAACUCUUUUUGAGGUUACUCAUUACUUCAAUCAAUUAAUGUUUGUUUAAAUGUAAACAGAGCUGUUUCAUAUGUUUGUUUGGUUUUUACUCCUCUCAUGAGGGACUCAUGAAGUGAGCAAAUGAAACAUUGCGUUGACAAACCUUAUUUCUUCAAAGCCCAUAAUCUCAAAUGACAAAUAUCCUUGCUCUCCAAAUUGCAUGGGGGAGGUGGAUGGGAAAUUGGCUUGGGUUUUUGUCGGGUUUUUUUCUGAUGUUGUUGCCUUCUGGUUUGUAACUUACCCUCGAAGCCAUAAAAUGAAAAAACUGAGCUUCCAGUAAUUGCUUUUAAGACGGAUCUUGUCUCCAUCAGUGUGACAGCAAGAUAUGCAGACAAAUAGGUUCACAGGGCCCCCUCUGUGCCGUAUCUGGAAUAUGUAUUAGGUCUUACAGGCCCUGAGUAUAAAAACCCAACAAACUUGCUUUUGCCUCUCAUAUCUGCUUGUGUCAGUGUCCAUGCGCAAACCCUGCUUUGUCCCUGGGUGAUGUUUGGGCUGUAUUUUAAGCAGCAGCCACACCCCAUAGCGUGAGGGUGCAGCACAAGCACCUAGUCAGAAGCAGGAAUCGUAACCUUUUCCCCUCAAAAACACUUGGACCACCAUAAUAUUUGCCUGUGCCUUUAACCCCUCUGAUCUGAAAUAUGCACAAUGUAGCCCUAUUUCACUAUUGCUUUACAGAAAAUAGCUCCAGAAAUACCCACUUCUUUCGAAUCCUUCUCAAUAACACCUUCCUACAGGACACUUCAGCAUUUCCCAGUCAUUCAAGUUUUCCCGAAGUUUUCUAAUAUUCUGAUUUUUUCAUUUUUUAAAUAUAUAUUUUCUUCAUUUUAUGCUAAUUAUUCUUUAUGAACAUGAAAUGCCUGACCUUUUUGAUAGUUUGAGCAAGUAGUAAAUACAGGGUUAGCAAACUUGCACAAUGGGUUGGUUCACACUUCUUUCUUUGAAGUGUGCUGUCAUUAAUUAAUAGCCAAAUUGAAUUUAGAAAAUGAACAUAGGAUUAAAAAAAAAAAAGCUGCUUUGUACCUCUGAGAUUCUGCUUUAGAAAUAGUUAAUCUUGACUGGAUCUAAUAGAAAGCCAGACUUUUCAAUUUAUCAUUUUAAAUCAAAUGUUUAUUAUGAAAUUCCUUAUUCUUCUAAUUUCUUGAGAAAUAACAACAUCUAAAGAUUCUGAGAAUUUCUGUGGAACCCUGCUGUUUUCAUUCUUGCCAAAAUCUAUAGGUCUGAGCUUACAGCUAUUAUGAAACUUAAAAGACAAUUACAAUUAAAGUGAUUAUUUCAGUAAAAUGUUAAGAAAAUUAACCUAAUCCCUGUUGUUAAGUGGACUCAUAAAAAGACUGUGUUCUGACGUCUGUCAAGCUGUUCAUAUUUUAAACUUUAUUUAGAUCAGAGCCAUGUUUGCAUUAGUCUAGAUGUGGUUUCCUGGUAACUCUUGAAUCGUUUUUUAAAAAAUGUCUAAACAGUAUGGUUAGGAUUCCUUAAUGAAAGUAGCCUACUUCUAUGGCUCAAUUCUGUUUUCUUGUUAAUGAAUAUUUAGCACGUUAAAUGGGGCACAAUGGCCUUUUCCACAUCUCAUGGGUAUCCAGUACCAAGCAGCUGUGAAUGCUUCAUGUCUAUAGCAAUUUUUUUUUUAUCAGCAAGUACUUGUGAAUGGAAAAAGUGUCUGUGCUUUGAAAACACCAGAAGUUCACUGCUCCUGCCAGGGCUUUGCUUGUACCAAAGCAAACCGCGAUUCCAUUGCAAGUGCCACGGACAGGGUGGCCAGACCUUGAUUAUAUGUGGAAACUAAAACAAACAAAAACCAGCUGUUCCCAGAUGCUAUAUAUAUAGAUCUUCCUUUGGAGACCCUUUACUUCUCUGUAAAGGUUGGGGUUUUUCUUUUUUUUUUUUUUUCAGAUCCUUGUUUUAAUUUUUAUUCCUGUGAUUAUUGGAAGAUUAUAGACCUGAUCGUUAUUUCCUGCAGAUUUACUGAAGUCUCAUAAAUUUGUUCUGUAACAGUGCCCUUUAGCAUCUGCAGUCUGGUUACUUUCAUCUGUUUUGAUCUCUGUUGUUGUUGUUGUUAUUUUAUUGAUCUUCUUAAUAGCUUGCUCCAAAUUCGCAGAACCUAGAGCCUUACACCAAUAGAAAUUUUCCUUUAUAAAAGAAAAAAAGUAAUUGCUGCCCUCAGUCAAGCCAUAUCUGUUAUAUAGCGCUGUUUUCUAUUGCAUGAUCUGCUGUGUUGCACUUGUGAAGUUUUUGGGUGUCCCUGGUUGAACAUCUUUAUGCUAAUCUGAAUUUCUGUAAAAAAAGAUUAUAAAAUUUUAGUAACUUCUCAAGUCCAUUUGACAUGGCUGCAGGAAGCCUCCUUUCUGCUUUUCCUAAUUAUUCUUACUUAGAAACUAUGAUCUAGACUUAAUUUGUUAGGUUUCUUUUUGUUGAAUAUGUUUUAAAGUCCAUAGGUCAGCAGGGUGUUGAUGUGGGAUUCUGGUCCCUGUGCAUUGGUGCAUGAUUAUCUGGAUCACGUUCUGUUGCCCAAUACCGCAGGUGGCCAAGUGUGUGAGUACAGGGGAAAGGCACAGCAGCUGCCUCUCCGGCUUGGCAUGAUUGACUACAGUGUUACACAAAAGGAAAUAAUUGAUUUCUAGGUUGGUUCCAUAAGAAAAAUGGAACUCCCUGCAGUUUCUCUGUGUGUGUCUCCCUCGCUCCCCUCCCCUUCCAAAUAACUUUUGAACCCUUUGGUCAGUUUUAACCCUGCUGGAGGAUAGGUUACACUACAGAAAGUUAAUUGAGGUGAGUGGUUGGUAAGAGAAGAGAGUCACCAUGAAGGUCCUGCUGAUGAGGAGUCGGUGGCUUGGCACCAGAGAAUCGAUACGGAAGAGACGUGAAUGCUCCAGCAUUGCUGUGGGGUCUAUUGGACUGUUUUGGCUCAACUAUGUAAACGGCUUGAUUUAUUACUGAGCUGAGAAGGGCAGCAGGAAACCUCCAAUAUUUGUAUAUCCCAGCCCAUCUUUAAUUGUUUUUGACGUGGGAAAUGGAGCGAUCUGCAGCCUCUGUCGAUUCACGUGAAAAAUAAGGAGACUGAAACGAUGCGCUUUGGGACUUGCACUUCAUUGUCUUCGCAGUUGUGAUCGCAACAGAGCGUGGGCUCCUGAUCAGUCACAAUACGUACAGCAGAAGGUGACAAAGUCACUCCAAUUCUUCUUCCAAGUUAGGUAUUUGAUCUUCUAGUUGUCUUUCAUACUGGGAAGUCAUGUUUAACAUAAGUAUAACGAAACCCCUGAAUUUCUUGCAGCAUUAAGCUUAAUUUUCGAAGUGGGAAAGUUAGAGGACUGUGAAUGAUCUCUCCACUUUUCUCUGUACUUCUUCCUUAGCAGAACUAGAACUGAAUGCAAGAGGUGAGCAGGGCCCUGUGGAAGGUCAAAGCACAGAGGAAACUUAACCUGGACAAAACCUUUCAUUGCAGAAGUGUUCGACUUCAGUAAAAAUUGCAUAUUGCCUUUGAGUAACAAACUUUACAAGACUGCUGUUACUUUUUCUUUAUUUUUCAUAAAGUGGGUGGCUAAAAAUGAAGGAGAUGACAUCUCAGAUAAUGUUGGGGAGUUUGUUUGUUUGUUGGCUUGUUUUACCAGUUUGAGGAAUAAAUGAAAACUCCUUUGAUCACCAAAGGAAAUAAAAUAGCCAAGAUAUCUGAAGCUUUGAUCAGUCUCAAAUCUAAAAAUAUAAUAAACUAAGUAGCACCAUAAACAAACAUAAGUUGAAGCGUCAAUAACAGAAACUGAUGACCAGCUUUAUGGGUGAAGUAAUUUAAAAUCUGUGCUAUUUUAAAAUAAAGGAGUUAGCAGUAUAAGAAGGCCAUUUUGAAAAAUUGCCAAAAACAAUCUUUUUUUUUGCGUAGUACAUUCUACCUCAAAACCUAUUCUUUUGUUCCUGCUCUCAUGAAGAAAUUAGAUGAGUUUAUGGCUGCAGUGCCUGUUCUUGAAAGAUAAGCCUAAUUCUUAGCAACACAGCUGUAUCUGUGAAGGUCAACAGAGGACGAAGGUCGUGGCUCCAAUAAUACUUCAUUACAUGUUAAAAAACUUGUAAUUCUUUAAUGGAUUUCAUUGUAGAAGCUAAGAAAAAAUUCCCCCUCAACUGUUUAAUGUCAUGCUAGUAUCAAGCUAGAAGGAUUUCCUUUGAACUGCAGGCCACUGCUUUAUUCGAAGUUUAUGUAUCCCAUUAGUUUGGGAGAGGACGAAGAGGGUGUAAGGGGAAAUGGGGAGCUGCUGCAUCGGAGCUGAGGUGUCUUGUGCAUCACAUCAAACAAAAGCCUCUUGGGAAUGCUCUAGGUGUGGUUGCAGCUCUCCUAGCAUGAGGGACUGACUCUGUGAGAAAAGAGUGGGAUUUUGGGUGUAUAACAUGAAAACCUCAUCCCUUGAGCAUACAAAAACCUCUUGAAGAAAAGUCCUUCCCUGUUCUCAGUGGAACUUGGCUGUAGUUCUGUGAACAUCCUAAACUAUUUAUUUAUGUAUUAUCUGGUUUUGCUGUGAGCCAGUUCCACACACACUAGGCCAGUUCCCCAAGCCUAGUUUCCCACAAAGGCAAUGGCCGCUUGUGUUGGCCCAGGUGACGCAGAAGCGAGCAGUGGAUGUUAGCUGGAAGGUGGGAAUGCUUCUCUCCAUGGUGGCCACUGAUGUGUCCAAAGCAUGUGAGAAACCGGCAACCUCAGAAACUGCUGAUGUGCACAUUCCCAGAGCUGUGUGGUAACUCUUACAGCCACAUCAUGUUAUUUACCUAAAGGGCUUUAUUUGGUGUAUUAUGAACAAUAUGAAGUUCUUUAUAAGGAGCUUGGACUACAUUCAUUUUCAAACCAAACAUAUCACAGAACACUGUUUAUAGCAGCAUUUUAAGAUGUAGUACUCUAUCUUGUUGACGGUGAUAUGUCUUUGUGACCCUGGACUAUUAAGUCAAAAGAGUGCUUUGUCAAUGAUUUCUGAAGAUUCAGGAUUUCAUGCUGAGUUGCUUUACUAUAACACAAAUUUCAUUCAUGAUUUCUGCCAUCUGAUGAUGAUUUCUUCUUGUGAAGAUACUCUGUUGUGACAAGUUCUCCCCUUUAUGUGCUAAGUUAGUAAAGUAGUUAAAAUCCUGAGCUGUUCAGGAUAUUAUUUAAAUGCCUUUUGCAACCUUAGAGGUGAGUGACCCUGCUGCCCUGGCUAAAUUCCAGUUUACAUAAUUAUAAUCUACUACUUAAGUCCCUGAAGAAAUGCUGUGCAAAGGCCAAAAUUAAUGUCCACACCAUUUGAUCCGAACUGGGGUAUCCACAGAGAAUGCUGCCCUGCAGAGUCUGCAUCUAAAGCGGUGUUUGCUGUGUGACGCUGUGGCGUUAGCUGAGGUAUAAAUUGCCACCUUUGCUUCUGCUGCCACCAAAAAUGUCUGUGGCAGAUACUAAAGGUAACCAACAAGGAAUACAAGCUGGAAUAAAGAACAGGCUUUAGGACUAUCCGGAAACAUUUAUUAGUAUUAAAUGACCCUGACAAAAUUUGCCCUUGAAAUUAUAAUAAAUUAAUCGGAACAAUAUUUGACAGGUGAGCAGUUAUCCCAAAGAUGGUCUGGAGGAUAAUUCUGAUGCAUCUAAGGGCCUAGAGAAAAGCAAAAAUGAAAGGUUGACAAGAUGAUUUUUUUUUUGUUUAAAGCAAACAGAGUAGCAUGCUUUUUUUUUUUUUUUUGUAAAGAUUAUCAUCAAAAACGUUUACAACAAACAUGGAAGAAUAGAAUAUAAUUUGCAGGAAAGAAAGAUUACUUUUAUUAGGAAAGACCGUGACUAUCAGAACAGGUAAGCAUUGAACAGAUUACGUAGAUAAUAACAUGACUUUUAUCAGAUGUUUACAAAAUCAGCCAAAUAUCUGUCAGGAGUAAGUAUGCCUCAGUUACUCUGCUUCAGGGCAGGAGGGAGGACUAGAAGGUCUGUUGAAGUCCCCUGAGAUAUAUUUCAAGCUGUUGUUUCCUCUGUCUUAUUCUCUGCUGAUUCUAAUUCUGGCUGUUACCGCAUGCUUUAAAAGACUCAUUGCAUGCUGGGAUUUGGCAGAUUGAGACAGUGGAAAGAGGCUCCCCCAAGGUCAGCCAGCUAAACGAUUGUUAGGCAGAAAUAGAUGUGAAAUACAAAGAUCCAGGUGAUGCUAAAACAUGGUGCACAAUCUGCAGUUCUUAUUAUUUACCUAUUCUUGAACAACUGAAAAAAUAUAGCCACCCCUGUUUAGUAAUACCAGCCUUUAACACAGCUUUCCUGCCAAGUCUGCGUGUUGAGGACCAGGGUGUGUUUUGGAGCUGUGAAAUACCAGUGCGCAGGAGUGAUUUUCAGUCCCAGUGGAACUAAGCUUCACUGGAACCAGUGGGUUCAAAUUACUGGUCAUCUCUCCUCUCAAUUUAGAGGAACAUCUGAGUGGUGUCACAGGGAAGCAGCAUCUCUGUCAAAUCCUGCUGCUGUGGUGCAUUUCAUAAAGGCCUUGCCUAUCUAUUUUUUAAAAAAUAUUUUCCAUAUCUGCUGAAGUUUCAGGUCCUCAUGUUUACCUGACUGCUUGUCUGAGUGGAAAAUUUUGGAUAUAACCAAUUCUUCCCUUGCAUGGCCUGUCCCUCAGCCCAGAUAAAGCUGUGAUUGCUUCCAUGAGAAUCACUGUUCUGUGAUGAUGCAUCAGGGAUCCUGGAGUUAUUGAACGCUGACCUCUACAUGUUGUGGAGGUGUUUUAUUACCUGUUGUAUUUAUCACGUAACUGAAGUCCUGACAUUAAGUUCAAUUGCUUUCUCUAUGUUCUUAUAUGUCAAACCUUUGAUAAAGAAUAAUUUAAAAAAAAAUCUUUCUAAAGAAGCCUUUAGAAGGAAGAAGCCAGAAGCCAAAAAAGAUCAAAUUAAGAUUUGACUUAGGGCAUUGCAGUAAAUAUGGAGAACUUUCAUGGCCACUGAGAUACACAAGGUUAAAAAAAAAAUAAUAUUGAGGAACAGCAGAAAACAACUGUGUUAAAGCAUUCCAAAGCAGAGAUAGACAGAUGAGUUACAGCCCUCCUUCUGCAUUCUUCAUGGUUGUCAUUGCAAUGUCUUUCAGAAGAUACUUUCAAAAAGGUUGGUAAGAGUUUUACUGCAUUUAGUAGGCACAUUCUGAACCAGAAAUAUAUGUCCUGCUUCAGUAGAAAAACCAUACACACAAAAGUACAACAUGAGGACCUGCUUUAUUAUCCCAGUAGAUUCUAUCUAGUGUGUAAAGCAAAACAAAUUUAGUAAAGACAAAGGUUAGAAAACGUGAAGUUGUGUCAUAUAUACAUAUAUAGAGUUCUUAAUGUUUUCUUGAUGAAGAUUCCUAACACACUGGUCCAGUGCCUGAACACAAAACUAAACUGCAUCUUUAGACGCUGGAUUGCAUCUAAAUUGUCUCUUGUUCAUACCUUGUUAUUUUCCAGUAAAGCACUUGAUUUUCACAAGAAAUGUGAAGUUUAAAAAAAAACCCGCACUAACAAAUACUGAGAUUUCCUUCUUACCUUUAAAGUCACACUGGAGUGUUGCUGACACAGUAACACAAUACCAGGCUUUGAUGCAGCCAGCGUUUUUGAAACAAUGUGCGUACAGAUCUCUAUAAAAUUUGUGCUUGUUUUUCCACAGAACUGACAUACAAUGUUACUUAAGAAAAAAGAGACAAACCUUUCGGUGGGUCUUUUCUAGUAUAGUGCAUGUUUUGGGGGGAUAUAGCGGGAAACCUGUGUACUAAUUUUUUCCCUAGGCUUUCUAUUGUUCAAAACCUCUGAGUUUUCAAAACCUGUCACUUGUUAGUUACAGUCUUGUUUUCCCUAUUUGUUCUGUUGAAACUUUUCACUUAGGGAAAAAUCCUUUGGGUCCAAGGUUCUGGAAAGGUUGUAUCAGUUCUAGACAGGUAGAUAAGAGGGAUGGAAAUAAAAAUUGCAUAAUAUUUGGGAAGCCUGAUUUUUCUUUUCAGCUACAUAUGCCAGGUUAUCUAGACAGCUGUUAUAAAAAGGGAGAAAAAUACAAAAGCAGAAAACUGGCUGUAGUUAUGACAGUGUUCUUGUCUUUAUCUCCCUGUAACUUUGAGAUAAAUAAUAGAUGAACUUUCAGGCAAACAAAUUUUGAAAAGCCUUUACAGGUUUUUAAAAUAUAUUUUCUGUCAUACCAAGGCCUAUAAACAACAAACCAAAUGCCUAAAAUAUUAAUAACUUUCCUUAAAUUUAUAGUACUAUUAGUCCUACGUAAGUGAUCUAUGAUAGAAGAAAAUGUUGUCCCGCACAAGGGAGGUCAAGGUUCAAGGAACAGCCGUAUCGGCGUCCCAUGGUCGACAGCGACAGAUUACGUCAUUGCUCCUGACCCAGCACUGCAGGAACUCAUUGGACAAUGCAGCACCAGCUUUCUUUUGACCCUUACAGCACCUGUGUCCUUUAAGGGGAGGGAACCUGCCUGCAGGAAAGGUGGCUUUUUUACUUCUUGGGGCCUAAGACCCCUGUGGCUGGGGGUCUGACUGACUUCACCUGGGGUCAGUCUGCUUGCAAGCAGGAUGGGCAGCUGCAGGUGUAGCUCUGCCCUCACGUCCUCCGCACAGGGUAAGAAAUGCAUUAGAGCAAUACGUGGUUACUAGCACGUUAAAAAGUGGCUUUUGAAGUUUGUCCUCUUAAUACAACUGAGUUGAGAAUAGAGUAUUCGCUCCACACCCUCACCGUGGCAGCCCCAACGUACGAAGUACUUAGUUGCUAAAUUUACAGGUGAGGUCAAUGCUGGGUCACUCUAGGUAGUGCUACAACAUUCAACUCUGGCUUUCAUUCUGUGAACUGCUUAAUACAGAUGUCAACAAUGGGUGACUUGCCAGUACAUCACAGGUCACCACUGCUUACUACAAACACACACUUACAUUCAUGUUAAAACACGGGAAGUAAACCUUCCAGCAAAAUCAUUCUGAGUUUCUUUCCUUGAUGCCUAAGGAUGAAUUUCAGUGUUUUCUAUACAGGGAUGGAAGUGAUAUGUUUUGCCUCUUGUAGGAUACCACCAAAAAAAGUAAAAACCCAAAACCAAUAAAACCCCCGGCCCAACACACAACCUCCAAAAAAACAA